rnacentral:lncRNA from 1 species
GGCACAUUGACUAGCAGUUUCUAUGAAUGAGACAUCAUAAAGUACAGAUCCAUGCGUAGAUCAGCUGCAGGGGAGCUUCCAUUGAUGCAGCUCAUUCAUUUGUUCAUCCACUAGGUUAGCUAGGACUUUAUGAAGCAUUUUCUAUAUGCCAGGCUUGGAGGAUGAUGCAAAGAUGAGCUAUAAUUGUUCUCUGUCUCCUAGAAGCUCACACCCAUCUGGGAGAGACACUUAAGACACCACCUUAAGACAAUGGGAUAAAGGUGUUGUUGGAAGCUGUGGAGGGGUACCCACCCCAGUCUAGGGGGAGUGCUGGCUGCAUGGAGCAUUUGAGCACAGGGCUACAGAGACGUGACCCCAGUUUCACUGGUUCCAUUUUGGACAGGGGUGCAAGUUGAGGUCUUGGACUUGUCCUUCCAUAAGGGAACUGCCUGUUUGUCGACAGUCCAUUGGUCUCUUUUAGAGAUGAAGUUCUCACGUCUGCCCAGAAGGAUGGAUCCACUCUUAGUGUUCAGCAUUAUUUCACUGCUGACCCUCUGCCGAGCCCUAUCACAGCUUUCUGAAUUUCCAUCCGGCCCUCCGAGGCAGAAUUGGCUCUGAAACCACAGGCCUGGGGAUUGAGGAAGGUGAUCUGAGUGUCUCAGUUAGGGAGGAUCCCAGAAGGAGACAGAAUUCCACCCAGAAAGUUAGAAUGAAGGUUCUUUCAUGAAGGGCCUAGGCGUUGUGGGUAUCAUCAAGGGGCCCAACAAAGAGGAAUGAGGCUUUCCAGAGACGAGCAGCAGCAGUCAGCCACAGGGCAAGGAGAUAAAUUCCAUAGUUACUGAAGUCCAAGUGUGGGGGAGGGAUACCGAGGAGGAACUGGGUCAGGGAGGGACCCUGCCACUGGGAGCACAACGGCCUCAACAGGAAGGCACAGAGAGCAAAUACCCCAAACCCUCUUACUUCUUGCCUUGUACCUUCUGUCAGUACCUCCCAUUGCUGAGGGCAAGCCAAGCAACAUUUAGGAUCCCAGGUGACUAAUCCUUAGGGGCCAGCCUACCAGGACCCAGGGAAGGACAGCCAAUGGAUCUGCAGAGGUGAAAUGGGAACAAAUGGAAAAUACUCACGCAGAAUCAUCUAGUGCUCUCUCCUAGAUAAUAGAAUUGAAAGCUAUGAGCCAUUCUUAUUUUAGGGCUGAUAAAGAUGCC